ACCAGCUGACGAGUCUCAAGUAGGACGAAACACACGUCCUGGAU
rnacentral:hammerhead_ribozyme from 1 species